UUAUGGCCAUAUCACAUUGAAACACUAAUCCUCGUAUGAUUACUGAAGCUAAGCAACGUCGAGCAUGGUCAGUACCUAGAUGGGUGACCGCUUGGGAAUAUCAGCUGCAGUA